rnacentral:rRNA from 1 species
AAAAAAGGUAAGCUACUAAGAGCGAAUGGUGGAUGCCUUGACUGGUAAAGGCGAUGAAGGACGUACUAGACUGCGAUAAGCUACGGGGAGCUGUCAAGAAGCUUUGAUCCGUAGAUUUCCGAAUGGGGCAACCCAAUGUAUAGAGAUAUACAUUACCUAUAUAGGAGCGAACGAGGGGAAUUGAAACAUCUUAGUACCCUCAGGAAAAGAAAUCAAUAGAGAUUGCGUCAGUAGCGGCGAGCGAAAGCGUAAGAGGGCAAACCCAGUGCUUGCACUGGGGGUUGUAGGACUGCAAUGUGCAAGAGGUGAGUUUAGCAGAACAUUCUGGAAAGUAUAGCCAUAGAGGGUGAUAGUCCCGUAUGCGAAAAACAAACCUUAGCUAGCAGUAUCCUGAGUAGGGCGGGACACGAGAAAUCCUGUCUGAAGCUGGGUCGACCACGAUCCAACCCUAAAUACUAAUACCAGAUCGAUAGUGCACAAGUACCGUGAGGGAAAGGUGAAAAGAACUGAGGUGAUCAGAGUGAAAUAGAACCUGAAACCAUUUGCUUACAAUCAUUCAGAGCACUAUGUAGCAAUACAGUGUGAUGGACUGCCUUUUGCAUAAUGAGCCUGCGAGUUGUGGUGUCUGGCAAGGUUAAGCAAACGCGAAGCCGUAGCGAAAGCGAGUCUGAAUAGGGCGCUUAGUCAGAUGCUGCAGACCCGAAACGAAGUGAUCUAUCCAUGAGCAAGUUGAAGCUAGUGUAAGAACUAGUGGAGGACUGAACCCAUAGGCGUUGAAAAGCCCCGGGAUGACUUGUGGAUAGGGGUGAAAGGCCAAUCAAACUUCGUGAUAGCUGGUUCUCUCCGAAAUAUAUUUAGGUAUAGCGUUGUGUCGUAAUAUAAGGGGGUAGAGCACUGAAUGGGCUAGGGCAUACACCAAUGUACCAAACCCUAUCAAACUCCGAAUACCUUAUAUGUAAUCACAGCAGUCAGGCGGCGAGUGAUAAAAUCCGUCGUCAAGAGGGAAACAACCCAGACUACCAGCUAAGGUCCCUAAAUCUUACUUAAGUGGAAAACGAUGUGAAGUUACUUAAACAACCAGGAGGUUGGCUUAGAAGCAGCCAUCCUUUAAAGAAAGCGUAAUAGCUCACUGGUCUAGUGAUUUUGCGCGGAAAAUAUAACGGGGCUAAAGUAAGUACCGAAGCUGUAGACUUGAUUUUAUCAAGUGGUAGGAGAGCGUUCUAUUUGCGCCGAAGGUAUAC